GACGAACGCUGGCGGCGUGCUUAACACAUGCAAGUCGAACGGUAAGGCCCUUCGGGGUACACGAGUGGCGAACGGGUGAGUAACACGUGGGUGAUCUGCCCUGCACUUCGGGAUAAGCCUGGGAAACUGGGUCUAAUACCGGAGAGGACCACUGCCUGCAUGGGUGGUGGUGGAAAGCUUUUGCGGUGUGGGAUGGGCCCGCGGCCUGUCAGUUUGUUGGUGGGGUGAUGGCCUACCAAGGCGACGACGGGUAGGCGGCCGGAGAGGGUGCGCGGCCACCAUGGGACGGAGAUAGGGCCCAGCCUCCUACGUGAGGCAGCAGUGGGGAAUAGUGCACAAUGGGCGCAAGCCUGAUGCAGCGACGCCGGGUGAGGGAUGACGGCCUUCGGGUUGUAAACCUCUUUCAGCACCGACGAAGCGCAAGUGACGGUAGGUGCAGAAGAAGGACCGGCAAACUACGUGCCAGCCGCCGCGGUAA
rnacentral:rRNA from 1 species